UCGCAUAUUGAGUGUGUUCGAACUUUUUAUGUUGAGUUGUGUGAGAUCAAGAGUCAGAGACUUAAUUGUUGGGUUUAAUUAUCUCAUUUAAGACCCAAAAUAAAUAACAUUGAGGUGUGUAAGUCUCCAAGGUCGUGCAAGUAGCAGAUCUAUAUAAAGACAGUUGUUUUAAAUUUGUUUUCCUACUUGAACUAGGAUUCUUGAGAAAGAAUUAAGUCAUAAUGCAAUUAUGACUUCUAAAUCAAAUCUGGAGUCUUAGUUAACUUAUUUUUCUCUAACAAAAGGGUCCAAAAUACAUAUCUGGAGCUAAUAAAUUCCCUUCUACUCAUUGUGGCCAAAUUCCCUAUAUGCGCAUUCAAAGGUGUCGAUUACUUGAUCCAGUUGCUAGUGU
rnacentral:misc_RNA from 1 species